rnacentral:rRNA from 1 species
UACGGAGGGGGCUAGCGUUGUUCGGAAUUACUGGGCGUAAAGCGCGUGUAGGCGGCUCGGCAAGUCAGGUGUGAAAGCCCUGGGCUCAACCUAGGAAGUGCACUUGAAACUGCCAGGCUGGAGAUCUGGAGAGGAAGGCGGAAUUCUCGGUGUAGAGGUGAAAUUCGUAGAUAUCGAGAGGAACACCGGUGGCGAAGGCGGCCUUCUGGACAGCAUCUGACGCUGAGACGCGAAAGCGUGGGGAGCAAACAGG